rnacentral:tRNA from 1 species
GGUUCCUUGGCUCAGUCCGGUUAGAGCGCUUCGUUGAUAACGAAGAGGCCGCAGGUUCAAAUCCUGCAGGAACCACCA